CCGAAGGGUUCGGGUCACACACCUGAAGUACUCCGGUACAUACCGAUGUGCCUCGAUGUCUGACCCGAACUUCGGCAGCUCGACCUCAAGUUUUCGGAUGCGUGAUCAGAAGACUUCAGAGAUCCUGUAAUAUGAACUCAACUUCGGGUCCCAUGCACGAAGUUUUAUUCUCCGUGUACCAAUGGAGGGACUCUUGUCUCCGCGACUGACUGUCGAUGAGAGUUGAGUUGCCAAAGAAGUACUCACUGAACCAAACGUUGCCUUGUGGACCAUCGUGCAGAAGAUGAACGCUGAAAUCGAGGCCGGCCAAGUCCUGGCGCAAGGAGGCGCUGUCCAUGUUAAGGACUCUCUCGGGCAACAGGAACAGGUGAUCCGUGCUUUCUUGGGCACUUCCGCCGACACGGGACGCGGCCAACAUUUCAUCAAACGCCACCCAAAUCCACGGCGAAAAUUUUGAAAAACCAUUCACGGCAACAAGUUUCACCUUGCGGUUUCCACCCGCAAGGAUCCACUACGCGCGCCUACGCAUUUCUCCGCGUAGAAAACGUCGAGUCUUGAUUUCAUUAAAUCCGCACGAACAUCAUCCAAUCUAGCAGAACUGUAGAAAGGGAGCACAUUUUGAGACUAGAUCUCAGCGGCUUGCUUAGAUUAAUUGCAUUUGAUAAAUUCAUCACUGACAGUGACUAUCACGGCACACGCGAGUUAUAUGUACACUACAACUGAACUAAAAACUCGUAGAAUUAUUGCAUCAAUACACUUCGCCAGAGUUCAAUUUCUGAAACCACGUGAGUUCCAAAAUCGUAUUUUAGGGAUUUGCACACAUCCAUUCACGUACACACGUUUGACACACGUGGUUAACACGAUACAACCGAGCCUAAGUUUGUUUCCAGUAAUGCAGAAUUUAAGGAAGAAUCCAUUUUGAUCAUUACCACUAUCACAACAACGGCUCAUCAAGAGCAACUCGAUUCCGCACUGCUCUUGUUUUAGGAGGAGUGUUCCAGUGACUUUUGCACAGAGGGAACUUCUGAAAUUCCCUCUGUUCGUCUGUUGGUAUAAGUGAACCUCUCCUUCCCCGCGCAAUUUAAAAACCAAAAGGUACGCUCAUUCCGGCUGAUGAAAAUUUUA
rnacentral:lncRNA from 1 species